GGUGAACGCUAGCUACAGGCUUAACACAUGCCAGUCGAGGGGAAACGACAUCGAAAGCUUGCUUUUGAUGGGCGUCGACCGGCGCACGGGUGAGUAACGCGUAUCCAACCUGCCCAUCACUUGGGAAUAACCUUGCGAAAGUAAGACUAAUACCCAAUGAUAUCCCACGAAGGCAUCGGAAUGGGAUUAAAGAUUUAUCGGUGAUGGAUGGGGAUGCGUCUGAUUAGCUUGUUGGCGGGGUAACGGCCCACCAAGGCAACGAUCAGUAGGGGUUCUGAGAGGAAGGUCCCCCACAUUGGAACUGAGACACGGUCCAAACUCCUACGGGAGGCAGCAGUGAGGAAUAUUGGUCAAUGGGCGAGAGCCUGAACCAGCCAAGUAGCGUGCAGGAAGACGGCCCUAUGGGUUGUAAACUGCUUUUAUAAGGGAAUAAAGUGGGUCACGUGUGACUUUUUGCAUGUACCUUAUGAAUAAGGACCGGCUAAUUCCGUG
rnacentral:rRNA from 1 species